AGGAAUUGAAGAGUGAUGAUGAAAACUAAAAAGUGAAAGAAGAUUAAGCAGAGAGAAAGAGAGAGAGAGAGAGGGAUAGGUGUGAGAUUUGGUGAAGUAGAAGAGGACAGAAUAGACAUCCGCCCGGAAAUACAGGGAUGCCGUACGCUAUUAAAUAGUUUUUAUUGAGUUUCCCAUAUUUUAUUGGUCUUUAACCCAAACAUAACCUCACAAAGUGAACCACUACCACUACUACAGUCUUUCUUCUUGUACCAUUGUUUCUUUCUCUCUCUCUCUCUCUCUCUCUCUCUCUCUCU
rnacentral:lncRNA from 1 species